rnacentral:rRNA from 1 species
GUAUUGACUAAAACACGUGCCAGCAGUCGCGGUAACACGGGACAUACGAGUGUUAUUCAUCUUUAAUAGGUUUAAAGGGUACCUAGACGGCAGAAUUAGCCCCCACUGAGCUGGAAAGGUACAAUUUUGCUAGAGUUUUAUAUGAGAGGGAUUUAGUACUAACAGAGUAGAGAUGAAAUUUUUUGAUACUGUAGGGCACUGAUAAUGGCGAAGGCAGACCUUUAUGUAAAAACUGACGUUGAGGGACGAAGGCUUGGGUAACAAACAGGAUUAGGUACCCUAAUAGUCCAGGCAGAGACUGAUGAGUGCCAUAGAUUAGAAUAUAUUUGAUCUAUAAAUGAAAGUGGAAGCACUCCACCUUAAGAGUAAUGCGGCAACGCCGGAACUGAAAUCAUUAGACCGUUUCUGAUACCAGUAGUGAAGUAUGUUGUUCAAUUCGAUGAUCCACGAAAAAUCUUACCACAAUUUGAAUAUUAUAGCAACUAUAGG